CUCAUCAUCCCUUUACUGCUCCUCUUCCAGAAGAUUAUUACAAGCUUUUUGAAAAUCCUUUAGAAGUUUGCGGAUUGCAUUACGAUCUCGUUAUUAAUGGUCAAGAAAUUGGCGGUGGAUCCGUUAGGAUUCACGAUGCUUCCGUGCAACGUCGCAUUUUUACUAAAAUUUUAAAAAGAAAAGAAGAAGAUUUUGAGCAUUUAUUAAAGGCUUUAGAAAGCGGCUGUCCUCCUCAUGCUGGAGUUGCUUUGGGCAUUAUUAUUAUAAUUAUUAUACUUAU